CUCGUAGGUGGUUUGUCGCGUUGUUCGUGAAAACCUAAGGCUUAACCUUGGGCGUGCGGGCGAUACGGGCAGACUGGAGUACUGCAGGGGAGACUGGAAUUCCUGGUGUAGCGGUGGAAUGCGCAGAUAUCAGGAGGAACACCGGUGGCGAAGGCGGGUCUCUGGGCAGUAACUGACGCUGAGGAGCGAAAGCGUGGGGAGCGAACA
rnacentral:rRNA from 1 species